rnacentral:lncRNA from 12 species
UAUUAAAAGAGGAAAGCUCUAUAAGGCAAAUUUUCAAAGAUACAUAAAAGUAGGGAGAAUAAUAAAAAGCAUCCCUAUCACCGAGUCUCAACAAUUAUUAACAUUUGCCAGUUUUGUCUCUAGAUGUGACCCUCUAAGAUUAUAUAUCACUGAGCUCUGCUUCCAGUGUAAACAUAUGAAACAAAUCAUGUUUGAAUGCCCUCUGGAGCCAUGGAAUGUCCAGUGAAUUGGCUGCUCACUGCCCUGCUCCCAUCACACACUCUGAACAAGCCUAUGUAGUUCUCAUCACAUUAUUUUGAUACCAUUUGUGUUCUUCUCUCUCUCUUCUAGACUGUGAGCCCUUUCAGGCUGGAAGUCUUAUCCUCUUCCUAUUAUCCCCGGCACCUUGCACAUGGUGCCUAACACUUAAUGGUUCUUAACAAAAAGUUCUGGAAUGCGUACAUGAAAAAAUAUGUUGUAAUGACUUAUUGUUUCAAUUUAAAAAAUCAGGUAUCCUGGUCACUUCUUUACAGUGGUCUUCUCUCCUUUCUUCUAUUUUUGCUCUGUGUCUUUGCAGCUGGUACCCUUAUGUUUUUCUUCUCUUCUGAUCUUAACCUUGGGACGUUUGUAUAAAGGCAUUCCUUUUUGACACAGAGAUCACAUACCGACCAUCCUGCACACUGCCAGCCUGUUUUUGUUUUGUUUUGCUACCAUAUUAGACCCUGCUGUUAUGUUUCAUGCCCAAAACACUUCCAGACUAUGCAAUUCACUCUGAUGGUUUGUUGAUGCCUCAUCUCUGUCCGUCCCUCACAUUAAGUGAAAGUAUUACUCCUAAAUGAAAACCACUGGCAAAUAUUUCAUUCUACUCAUGCCAGCAGGCCAGCAGUUCUGUUUUUCACUCAAUCCUUUUUUUUCCCACAUUUUAUUUAUUGAUUGAUUUGAGAGAGAGAGAGAGAGAGAGAGAGAGAGAAUGAGAGAGGAGGGAGAAGGAAAAGCAGUCUCUGCACUGAUCAAGGAGCCAGACUCAAGGUUCAAGCCCACAGCCCUGAGAUCAUGACCCCAGCCGGAAUUAAGAGUCAGUCGGUCACUUAACUGACUGAGCCACGCAGGUGUCCCUCUCACUUAUUCCUUUAAUUCAAGCCUCAGACCAGCCCCCUUCUCCAGGGCUAUUAAACCUUUAUAGUUAUUUAAAGACAAAUCCUGCAGUGCUUGCUUAGAUCACCAGUCCAACUGAUAAACGUGGAAGGAAUGAAGGAUGUAACAAACACCACAGUAAUAACGCCACAGUGCUGCAGGUAAGAACCAUUGAUGGAUGCUGAAAAUAAUGGGCAAAGUAUAAGAAACAGGAUAUAGGGGCACCUGGGUGGCUCAGCAGUUGAGCACCUGCCUUCAGCCCAGGGUGUGAUCCUGGAAUCCUGGGAUCGAGUCUCGCAUCGGGCUCCCUGCGAGGAGUCUGCUUCUCCCUCUGCCUGUGUCUCUGUCUCUCUCUCUCUCUCAUGAAUAAAUAAAAUCUUUAAAAAAAAUAGGAAACA